UCUAUGGAGAGUUUGAUUCUGGCUCAGAACGAACACUGGCGGCGCGCCUAAUACAUGCAAGUCGAACGGGAAAGUGAGGUUCGCCUCACGAGUAUAGUGGCGACCGGGUGAGUAACGCGUUAGUAAUCUACCUUUCAGUUGGGGAUAACCUUGUUAAAACGGGGCUAAUACCGAAUAGCAUUCCGAUGCCGCAUGGCAUUGUGAUAAAAGGUGCGUAAGUACCGCUGGAAGAUGAACUUGCGUCCCAUUAGCUAGUUGGCGGGGUAAUGGCCCACCAAGGCGACGAUGGGUAGCCGGCCUGAGAGGGUGUACGGCCACAUUGGGACUGAGAUACGGCCCAGACUCCUACGGGAGGCAGCAGUAGGGAAUUUUGCGCAAUGGACGAAAGUCUGACGCAGCGACGCCGCGUGAGUGAUGAAGGUCUUCGGAUUGUAAAGCUCUUUUAGGAGGGAAGAACCUGCAGGUGAAUAAUCUGCACUGACGGUACCUCCAGAAAAAGCUCCGGCUAACUCUGUGCCAGCAGCCGCGGUAAUACAGGGGGAGCUAGUGUUGUUCGGAUUUACUGGGUGUAAAGGGAGCGU
rnacentral:rRNA from 1 species